rnacentral:rRNA from 1 species
UACGAAGGGGGCUAGCGUUGUUCGGAUUUACUGGGCGUAAAGCGCACGUAGGCGGAUCGUUAAGUCGGGGGUGAAAUCCUGGAGCUCAACUCCAGAACUGCCUUCGAUACUGGCGAUCUUGAGUCCGGAGGAGGUGAGUGGAAUUCCUAGUGUAGAGGUGGAAUUCGUAGAUAUUAGGAAGAACACCAGUGGCGAAGGCGGCUCACUGGUCCGGUACUGACGCUGAGGUGCGAAAGCGUGGGGAGCAAACAGG